rnacentral:rRNA from 1 species
GACGAACGCUGGCGGCGUGCCUAAUACAUGCAAGUCGAACGCAGUGGGGACGGGUGAGUAACCCGUGGGUAACCUACCAUCAGAGGGGACAACACUUGGAAACAGGUGCUAAACUGAUACUGAUGGAUGGACCCGCGGUGCAUUAGCUAGUGGGUGUGGUAACGGCUCACCAAGGCCACGAUGCAUAGCCGACCUGAUAGGGUGAGCGCACACACUGUGACUGAGACCCGACCCAGAGUCCUCCGGUAGGCAGCAGUAGGGAAUCUGCGGCAAUGGACGAAAGUCUGACCGAGCAACGCCGCGUGAGUGAAGAAGGUUUUCGGAUCGUAAAACUCUGUUGUUAGAGAAGCGGUAUCUAACCAGAAAGCCACGGCUAACUACGUGCCAGCAGCCGCGGUAAUUC